AACGGAGGGAACGAGUGUUACUCGUAUUGAUGGGUGUAAAAUGUGUGUAGAUGGCGCUUUUUGUUUCAUUUUAAAGUCUUUUUUUUUUAAAGUAAAAUGUUAAUACGAAUGCGCUUGAGUGCUUAUAAAACAACAGUAUCUUAAGUGUAAGGUGAAAUUUUAAAAUAUUUUUGAGACUAGCGUUAGACGAAAGUGGUGUUAAGAGGUAUACUGACAUUGAAGCACUAAAGCUUAGUAGCGAAUAGG
rnacentral:rRNA from 1 species